rnacentral:lncRNA from 1 species
AACGUNACAAUGUCAAAAUUGUGUGACCUUUUUACCACAAGUUAAUCUUGGAGUCAAUCCUAGAGGAUUGAUACCUAACCAUAUUUGGCAGAUGGACGUCACACACUUGCCAGAUGGUAAGUUUCACUUACCCUCAGUCACUCCCCGUGCGAGCCACCAAACGCCGCAGUCUGGCUGGGCACAAUCAGGAGCCACUUGUCAAAAGAAACUAACUUUAUUUUUAGAACCACACACGCCAAACAAAACAGCCUCUCAGGAAAAACCCUCAGAGCCUCAACUGCCACCACCGGCUUUUCACAAGCCUCUCUCUCCCACACCAGCUUCUCUCCACCUCCCACAAUCCUCCUGCUCUUGAGGCCGAUUGGCUGGGUCACGUGGGCGGAGCCAAAAAAGUCCCCCAAUGAGCAGCUCCGUGGUCUGAAAGGGCAGGGAAACAGCCCAAUGAGCAUCACCGCAGAGGAGCCAAUCAGCUAGAUGUUGCUGGGGCUGCUGUGAGCCAAUCAUCAGCCAGCAGCUGGAAGUUUGCUGGCAGCUGGAAGUUUGCUGGAGCCCCUUUGGCUGUGGCUCUCAACAAGAAAGGGAGAAGGUGUUUGUUGGCUGGGUGGCGAGAAGGGGAAAAGUUAGGGUUUGGGGCACAGGCCUAGAUGGUCAUCCUGCCUCUUCACAGGUUGUAUAUUUCUUUUCCAGGUAGUUAUCAAGUUCUGUGGGGUAGCAGGGAAGUUAAGCUUUAAACCUCAAAAAAGUCACUGGCUGAUGGGGCUGGCUUUUCUGCAUAGGUCCAUUUUUGAAUAGCUGGUUAUAAAUUUUCUUUGAGUGGAUUCUGGAAAAACAACUUAAGCACUCUGUUACUUAGGAAGUGUAUAUUAGGGUUUCUUCUGGACUUUGACAUCUUCACUUCCAUCCUAUGGCCCCAGUGAAACCCGGGGCAGGAUUCUGAAGCCAACAGUCUCACUGGACCAAAUACCACAGCCUCCCUGGUCUUCUCCAGGUACUUAGAAGAGAAUUCCCCUUUUUUAAGGAGUUAAAUAUAUUCUUUAAUUUAGGGUUAAGAUAAAUUGAGCAAAGUUGAUGUGUAAAGAGCUUACAGAGACCCCACUCCUGUCUGGAACUUGUUGCCCCACAGGGACCAUAGUCCUUCCUUGGGUAACAGAGGGGACACUGCCAUCCCUGCCCAGGAAAUAGUACCAAUGUGUGUCCCAGAGCUCAGAUUUAUGCCUCAGCCCAGCUUGCAGCCUGCCCCAAAUGAAGUCUGUGGGUUCCCAUGGAUUCAGCAAAGAGGAUUCCAAUUAAGAUCUGGUCUGAGAAGCCUGAGAGGAAGUGGCUGCUGGGAUUUGCAUUGGAGAAGAAACUGUCUUGGUUCUUCUCUGCCUUGCUCCUGUCCAUGGAGACCUGUGACCAAGUUCUUCUUCUUCGAGAAGAUUUUCCUGGCCUCAGUGCCCUGUCGACCUGCCCACCUGCCCAUGCUGCUGGGCUGGCCCCGUCCAAAGGCCAAGGCUGAAGAUAGUCAGGGGGACUGAUGGGCUGUAGCAGUUCAAAAUGUGGAUGCCGAUGCCUACCCAGGACUAGCUCCUCCUCUCCUUUCCAAAGCAUUUCUUUUUUCUACAUUUUGUUACAUCACCAGAUUCCCUCCAAGUUAUGUGAACAGAUGUAAACAGAUGUCAAAGUGAUAUUGAUUUAGUAUGGAUUUGUAAGAAUGAACCCUUCAUACUGCCCAACCUGCAUCCCUAAAAUAUCCACCAGCCUUACAAAAGAGUGGUUAGCACUUUUGAAGCUGCUCUGGAACAGAAAAGGGAAGUAGCUCUUUAUUCUAAUGCCCUGCAUGUCACUUAGCAUGAAGUGCUUUUCUGCCUCUAGUGAGAAAAUCAUAUCAUGUUCCUCCUUCACUCUACUGAGAUGGAGGAUCACAUUGAUUUUCACAUAUUAAAUCUUUCAUUCUCGGAUAAAUGUAUGUAUGUAUUUUCCCCUUGAUACAAUUAUGUAUAGCAUUUCUGGGACCAGUGAUAAAAAACACAUUUGCUACACUGCACUUGAUUUGCUAAUGUUUAGUGAAGAAUUUUGCACCCAUGUUUAUUAGAGUGGCCUAAAGUUCAUGUGAAAUAAGGAAUGUCCUUUUUCAGUACCCUGGAGAAUUUUGUGUAAGAAUGAAAUUAUUUGCUCCUUAGACGUUUGAUAAAACUUGCUGGUGAAACCAUUUGAGCCUAAUGAUUUCUGUGUGAAGAGAUUUUUAAGUUCCCGUUGGAAGUAUGGUCUAGAACUGGGGACCCACAUUCUGGAAUCUCGUUAUCACCCCACAUUUCUGAAAGGAAGUGUAUGCCUGGGCAGAACAUGGGCUCCUUCCUACCUGGAUUGACCUAGCUACUCCACUGGUGCAUGUUCCUCCUGCUGAUAACAAGCUGACACAGAGUCCUGGAGAUGGCAGAGUUGCUCACAAACACUAGCAGAAACAUGGUGGUUCACAGGAGUAAAUACACAUUCCAAAUGUAAAUGUUCUUUCCCUAUUCAUAAAGCUUCUGCUACUAUCACCACUCAUGGAUUCAUAGGAUGCCUUGUUUAUUGCCAUAAAACUUUAGCUCCAAACAAGGAACUCAUCUUACUGCAAUGGUACACCAAGAUGCAAGUCAUUAGGGUUGACAAGGGACUCCAGGAGAGUGGGGAGUUGAACCUCCAAACCUCAGUGCUUGUGUUCCAAAAAAAGAGAAAUUACAGACUCAAAAAGCCAUGCAGGAGAGCUUCAUUAUAAGUAAAAGUAGAGUAAGGCUCAAACAAAGAGCACUCCUGAGUGGGUCUUCUCCCAGCCGAGAACGACAAAUGGAACAAUGCUGUCUCCAAAUGGAUUGGUGUUUUAGGGGUGCCUUGAGAACUGGGGUCCACCUUCAGCACUAUUUGACAAUCAGGGUUCAACUCCUUCAUGUCAGGUGGUAGAGUUUUGGGCUCUAGUUGGUCCUUUCCAGAACUGUCAUGGUGUCCACCUAGGGAGGGGAGUGUUAUUUACGAGUCAAUCCUAUGUUAAUGUGAGAAUUGGGACACCUGUGGCCAUCAAUUCUAGCUUUACAAUGACCUCAACUGACCCUGUCAAGAGUUAGGAAUAGCCCCCAUUAAAUCUUUGCUGUAUUUCUUAUUUGGCUCCUUUUGUUCUCUUUAUUUGUAUACUUGUCGUUUUCCUGCAUUAUCUGAGUACCCACUUGCCUUAAAAUUAAUUUAAAGAAAACCUUAAAAGUAACUUAAGGAAAACCCAUGACCUUGCCCUGAUAUUGGCUUGCAUUUCAUUUCUCACAAUUCACUGCUGCUUAACAUCUAUCACCCUUUGAAACUGGCAGGCUGCAUGGCAGAUGAACAGGAGUGCCCCUGCCUUCCACAGGGACCACACAGGAAAGCAGGUAGAGGGCAGUCACAUAGGCAGCUUUGGCAGGGUGCGCCACUCCUCAGCUAUAGACCAGCCAGACUUCGUUAAACUUCAUAAAUUUCAUCACGGAUCUUCAACAGCCCCAUGGCACAUUGGACAAAUAUUCUCACAGAUGAGAGAUUAA